AACAAACGCUGGCGGCGUGCCUAAUACAUGCAAGUCGAACGGGGAAAGUAGCAAUAUGAGUACUAGUGGCGCACGGGUGAGGAAUACAUGGGUAAUCUGCCUUCAAGUUUGGGAUAACCAGUCGAAAGAUUGGCUAAUACCGGAUAAGACCACGGGAUCUGCGGAUCCAGAGGUCAAAGGUUUUUCGCUUGAAGAUGAGCCCAUGUGGGAUUAGCUAGUUGGUGAGGUAAUGGCUCACCAAGGCGACGAUCCCUAACUGGUCUUAGAGGAUGAUCAGUCACACUGGAACUGAGACACGGUCCAGACUCCUACGGGAGGCAGCAGUAGGGAAUAUUGCGCAAUGGGGGAAACCCUGACGCAGCGACGCCGCGUGAGUGAUGAAGGCCUUCGGGUCGUAAAGCUCUGUCGUAUGGGACUAACAAAAUGAAGGUACCAUGCAAGAAAGGAUCGGCUAACUUCGUGCCAGCCGCCGCAGUAA
rnacentral:rRNA from 1 species